rnacentral:misc_RNA from 1 species
GCACUUUGAUCAACCGCCGUCCCUCCUCAUCCUGGCCGUACCACCCUGUGGCAAACGGCCCGCAACUGACAUCGUCCACACCGAGCCCACGAACUCUGAGCCCCCGGCUGAAGGCUGGGUCGGCCAGAGCGGUUGAGGUCGCGCGGCUCAUGUCCUCGUCGGUUAUCCUGGGGAAGCCUCCUGUGGCGGCGGUCUUGACAUCGUGGUGGAGGACGGAGGCAGCGG